GACGAACGCUGGCGGCGUGCUUAACACAUGCAAGUCGAGCGGAAAGGCCCUUCGGGGUCCUCGAGCGGCGAACGGGUGAGUAACACGUGAGUAACCUGCCCCAGACUUUGGGAUAACCCUCGGAAACGGGGGCUAAUACCGGAUACGACAGAGCUUCGCAUGGGGUCUGUGUGGAAAGUUUUUCGGUUUGGGAUGGGCUCGCGGCCUAUCAGCUUGUUGGUGGGGUGAUGGCCUACCAAGGCGACGACGGGUAGCCGGCCUGAGAGGGCGACCGGCCACACUGGGACUGAGACACGGCCCAGACUCCUACGGGAGGCAGCAGUGGGGAAUAUUGCACAAUGGGCGGAAGCCUGAUGCAGCGACGCCGCGUGAGGGAUGACGGCCUUCGGGUUGUAAACCUCUUUCAGCAGGGACGAAGCGUAAGUGACGGUACCUGCAGAAGAAGCGCCGGCCAACUACGUG
rnacentral:rRNA from 1 species